GCCGCGGUGGCUCAAUUGGUAGAGAGUUGAACUUGUAAUCCAAGGAUGGCAGGUUCGUUACCCGUCCAUACCA